AUUGAACGCUGGCGGCAUGCUUUACACAUGCAAGUCGAACGGUAACAGGUUAAGCUGACGAGUGGCGAACGGGUGAGUAAUGCAUCGGAACGUGCCCGGUCGUGGGGGAUAACGCAGCGAAAGCUGCGCUAAUACCGCAUACGAUCUGAGGAUGAAAGCGGGGGACCGUAAGGCCUCGCGCGAUCGGAGCGGCCGAUGUCAGAUUAGGUAGUUGGUGGGGUAAAGGCUCACCAAGCCGACGAUCUGUAGCUGGUCUGAGAGGACGACCAGCCACACUGGGACUGAGACACGGCCCAGACUCCUACGGGAGGCAGCAGUGGGGAAUUUUGGACAAUGGGCGCAAGCCUGAUCCAGCAAUGCCGCGUGCAGGAAGAAGGCCUUCGGGUUGUAAACUGCUUUUGUACGGAGCGAAAAGGUCUUCCCUAAUACGGGAGGCUGAUGACGGUACCGUAAGAAUAAGCACCGGCUAACUACGUGCCAGCAGCCGCGGUAAUACGUAGGGUGCGAGCGUUAAUCGGAAUUACUGGGCGUAAAGCGUGCGCAGGCGGUUUUGUAAGACAGGCGUGAAAUCCCCGGGCUCAACCUGGGAAUGGCGCUUGUGACUGCAAAGCUGGAGUGCGGCAGAGGGGGAUGGAAUUCCGCGUGUAGCAGUGAAAUGCGUAGAUAUGCGGAGGAACACCGAUGGCGAAGGCAAUCCCCUGGGCCUGCACUGACGCUCAUGCACGAAAGCGUGGGGAGCAAACA
rnacentral:rRNA from 1 species